GAUGAACGCUGGCGGCGUGCUUAACACAGGCAAGUCGAACGAGAAGUGAAGACGGAAACCUUCGGGCGGAAGGCUUUAUUUCGAGUGGCGGACGGGUGAGUAACGCGUGGGUAACCUGCCUCAUACAGGGGGAUAACAGUUGGAAACGACUGUUAAUACCGCAUAAGACCACAGCACCGCAUGGUGCGGGGGUAAAAACUCCGGUGGUAUGAGAUGGACCCGCGUUCGAUUAGCCAGUUGGCGGGGUAACGGCCCACCAAAGCGACGAUCGAUAGCCGAUCUGAGAGGAUGACCGGCCACAUUGGGACUGAGACACGGCCCAAACUCCUACGGGAGGCAGCAGUGGGGAAUAUUGCACAAUGGGGGAAACCCUGAUGCAGCGACGCCGCGUGAGUGAAGAAGUAUUUCGGUAUGUAAAGCUCUAUCAGCAGGGAAGAAAAUGACGGUACCUGAGUAAGAAGCCCCGGCUAACUACGUG
rnacentral:rRNA from 1 species